rnacentral:lncRNA from 7 species
CGCCCCGCCGGCCCGGCACCCGCCCGACGGGGCUGAGCCCGAGGGCGCGGGGGUCGGGGACCCCGGAGAGAGCCGCGGCCGCCGCCGCCGCGCCUCCCAGUGCUAAGCACGUGUAGGUAGGUAGGGACCCCCGCCCGGCGCGCCCCGCCGGUCCCCUCCCGCGAACGGCUCGGGGCGAACACGUGCGGCCCCGCGAGUGCCCCGCUGCCGAGUACGCGGCGUCCGGGCGGGCAGUAGCCAUGCGACGUACACGUACCCGACGCCCUCCGUGUUUUCCGGACCCCGCCGCCCCGCCAGUGCUCCCGCAUAUACCUCGGCGCUGGCGCGUCCCCUCCCGCCCGCACGGGCUCCCCGCGUCCGCCGCGCUCUGCUGCAGCCCGGGGACCGCGCGUUACUCCGCCGCGGCCGGAUCGGGCCCCGGAGCCCCGCCAGCGCCGGGCCCAGGUGAACAGGGCCGGGUCGCAGCUGGCGGGCGGCCAGGGGCCGCGGCGGCGCGGGGCAGGGGUAUGGAGAGCUAACCCGGCCCGUUCGGCUUUUUCUUUCGUUUUCUUUCGUUUCGUUUCGUUUCUCUCGCCGGUAACGGGCGGGCAGCGGCCGAACGGAGCCGCCAGGCCACCGUGCUGGCGGGUAACGCACCGAGCGAGUGGGCCGCUGUCCGCCGAGCCGCUCCACGCCGAGAGUUCCCCCGGGCCCAGAGCUGCGCCUCGGCCCCACCGAACGCACCGGACUCGGAUCGGCGCCGAGGCGAGGCGGCGGGGACCCGGGCGCACGGCGGGCAGCGCCCGGUGAAGGAUGGCCCUUUCCCAGGGGCUCGGCCCUGAUUUAUGUGAGAACCGCAGCGCUCCGGGGACGCCCCCGCACGGCGGGGCCGCUCCCCGGGACAGCGCCCGGCGGACGGUACCGGCGAUGCCCCGCCGCUCCCGGCCCCGCACCGCCCGGCCACCUGCCGGCUGCCCGCCCGACGUCCGCGCACCGAGCCCCGGCCCCGGGAGGCUCCGCGGCGUGGGGGCACGGAGCGACCUCGCCUGCAGCGACCGGCCCUGGGCGGGACACGCUCCCCUUGGCACACCCGCCUUGGCAUAGCCCUGGCCCGCUGCCUUCCGGGGCAAAGAACGGCUUUAUCCCAACGCGACGCGUUCCCAGCGGUGACUCUUCCACUCUCGUUUCGAAUGAAACGCGUUCUCUAAUCGCUGGGCUCAGCAGCCACGUCCAAGGCAGGCGUGCUGUAUGCUUCCCCAGCGGUGUGCUGCCAUCGUCUCCCCUGUCUGGUCCCAUUCCUGCAGCAUCCCGCCACUGGGUCUACCUGCCUCCCAGGUCCUGGGAAGCCCUGGUUUGGCUUUGCCAAUAACGACCAUGCAGUGCCCAUUUUCUGCAGAAAUACAUCACUGCCAAUCGUAAAGAUUAUUAUUGUCCCACUUGUCGUUGGCUGUUUUACAUUUGCUCCACAGUUCUUGCAAGGAUGUAUGGUUUGGAAAUUUGUCCCAAAACAAAAACUGCAUGAUAAAUGGUUGUUGGUUUGGGUUUGUUUUGGUGUUUUUUUUUUUCCCUCUUUUUUAUUUUGUUUUUUUUUCCAAGGGUCAUACCAAGAGUUUCUGUGCACCUUUCAAAGUCGGGAUCUUGAGGUAGGGGAUCAGAGUGGUGCUGAGUACCAGCAGCUCUGUGCAGUGUUCAGCACUCAGCACAACUAGGUUUGAGAGCGGCUCAUGGCAGAGUGCUGGGUUUUGACCCCAAAGGGAAGGUUGUCCUUGAUUUCAGUGUCUGAUGGAGCUCUGGAACUGAGCCUGACAUCUUGAGCUCAGUGAGAGCCAAAUCACAGGAGCAGGUAAAGGUCAUCCCACAUCU